CCUACGGGAGGCAGCAGUGGGGAAUUUUGGACAAUGGGCGCAAGCCUGAUCCAGCAAUGCCGCGUGAGUGAAGAAGGCCUUCGGGUUGUAAAGCUCUUUUGUCAGGGAAGAAACGGCUGAGGAUAAUACCUUUGGCUAAUGACGGUACCUGAAGAAUAAGCACCGGCUAACUACGUGCCAGCAGCCGCGGUAAUACGUAGGGUGCAAGCGUUAAUCGGAAUUACUGGGCGUAAAGCGUGCGCAGGCGGUUUUGUAAGUCUGUCGUGAAAUCCCCGGGCUCAACCUGGGAAUUGCG
rnacentral:rRNA from 1 species